rnacentral:rRNA from 1 species
AGAGUUUGAUCCUGGCUCAGAGCGAACGCUGGCGGCAGGCUUAACACAUGCAAGUCGAGCGGGCGUAGCAAUACGUCAGCGGCAGACGGGUGAGUAACGCGUGGGAACAUACCUUUUGGUUCGGAACAACACAGGGAAACUUGUGCUAAUACCGGAUAAGCCCUUACGGGGAAAGAUUUAUCGCCGAAAGAUUGGCCCGCGUCUGAUUAGCUAGUUGGUGAGGUAACGGCUCACCAAGGCGACGAUCAGUAGCUGGUCUGAGAGGAUGAUCAGCCACAUUGGGACUGAGACACGGCCCAAACUCCUACGGGAGGCAGCAGUGGGGAAUAUUGGACAAUGGGCGCAAGCCUGAUCCAGCCAUGCCGCGUGAGUGAUGAAGGCCCUAGGGUUGUAAAGCUC